rnacentral:rRNA from 1 species
UACGAACGCUGGCGGUGCGCCUAACACAUGCAAGUCGAACGGUGAACCGGGCUUCGGCCCGGGGAUCAGUGGCGAACGGGUGCGUAACACGUGGGCAACCUGCCCCCGACCCUGGGAUAACCCCGGGAAACCGGAGCUAAUACCGGAUACUCUCCUCCGAUCGCAUGGUCGGAUGAGGAAAGGUCCGCCGGUCGGGGAUGGGCCCGCGGCCUAUCAGCUCGUUGGUGGGGUAACGGCCUACCAAGGCGACGACGGGUAGCUGGUCCGAGAGGACGACCAGCCACACUGGGACUGAGACACGGCCCAGACUCCUACGGGAGGCAGCAGUGGGGAAUCUUGCGCAAUGGGCGAAAGCCUGACGCAGCGACACCGCGUGGGGGAUGAAGGCCCUUAGGGUCGUAAACCCCUUUCGGCAGGGACGAAGCGAUCACGUGACGGUACCUGCAGAAGAAGCCUCGGCUAACUACGUGCCAGCAGCCGCGGUAACACGUAGGAGGCGAGCGUUGUCCGGAAUUAUUGGGCGUAAAGAGCGCGCAC